rnacentral:rRNA from 1 species
GACGAACGCUGGCGGCGUGCUUAACACAUGCAAGUCGGGCGGUAAGGCCUUUCGGGGUACACGAGCGGCGAACGGGUGAGUAACACGUGAGCAAUCUGCCCUUCACUCUGGGAUAGCCACCGGAAACGGUGAUUAAUACCGGAUAUGACCACUACUCGCAUGGGUGGUGGUGGAAAGUUCUGGCGGUGAAGGAUGGGCUCGCGGCCUAUCAGCUUGUUGGUGAGGUAAUGGCUCACCAAGGCUUCGACGGGUAGCCGGCCUGAGAGGGUGACCGGCCACACUGGGACUGAGACACGGCCCAGACUCCUACGGGAGGCAGCAGUGGGGAAUAUUGGACAAUGGGCGAAAGCCUGAUCCAGCAACGCCGCGUGAGGGAUGGCGGCCUUCGGGUUGUAAACCUCUUUCAGCAGGGACGAAGCGCAAGUGACGGUACCUGCAGAAGAAGCACCGGCCAACUACGUGCCAGCAGCCGCCGUAACAC